GUGCUGGCUUCAGCAGCACACACACUAAAAUUGGAACAAUACAGAGAUUAGCAUGGCCCCUGCGCAAGGAUGACACGCAAAUUCGUGAAGCAGUCCAUAUUUUG
rnacentral:snRNA from 1 species